rnacentral:rRNA from 1 species
CAGAGGUGGCAAGCGUUGUUCGGAAUUACUGGGCGUAAAGGGCGCGUAGGCGGCCUACUAAGUCAGACGUGAAAUCCCCCGGCUUAACCUGGGAACUGCGUCUGAUACUGGAAGGCUAGAGUAUGGGAGAGGGAUGUAGAAUUCCAGGUGUAGCGGUGAAAUGCGUAGAUAUCUGGAGGAAUACCGGUGGCGAAGGCGGCAUCCUGGACCAUUACUGACGCUGAGGCGCGAAAGCUAGGGGAGCAAACGGGAUUAGAUACCCCGGUAGUCCUAGCCCUAAACGAUGAAUGCUUGGUGUGGCGGGUAUCGAUCCCUGCCGUGCCGAAGCUAACGCAUUAAGCAUUCCGCCUGGGGAGUACGGUCGCAAGGCUG